rnacentral:rRNA from 2 species
CGCGAAUGGCUCAUUACAACAGCCGUUGUUUCUUGGAUCUUGAUUUACUUGGAUAACUGUGGUAAUUCUAGAGCUAAUACAUGCAACCAAGCUCCGACCUUGCGGAAGGAGCGCAUUUAUUAGACCAAGACCAAUCGGGCUCUGCCUGACUUUUGGUGACUCUGAAUAACUUUGCUGAUCACACGGUCUAGCACCGGUGACAUAUCUUUCAAGUGUCUGCCCUAUCAACUUUCGAUGGUAGUUUAUGUGCCUACCAUGGUUGUAACGGGUAACGGAGAAUAAGGGUUCGACUCCGGAGAGGGAGCCUGAGAAAUGGCUACCACAUCCAAGGAAGGCAGCAGGC